UACCUUCCUCUAUCGCCACAUUGUCAGAUAUCGGAGCUAACAGCAACGGGAAACGAGCCCCGCCCCCGUUCGAACACCAAGUAGCAUCACCGCCCGCAAUCCAAUAGCUAUAGCCUCAGCUGCGAGCCAGGUCUUCAGUUGUCUCCCCACCACUGCUCUUCUGAUCCUCAUCACCCCCCCAAGUUUGACGCUACCUCAGUGAUCCAACGGAGGCAGCUUCCUUGCACUCGCGAGGCCUUGUCUGGCUAGAUUCCGUGGUCUGUACAUCUACCGGGAUGCCGGAGACUUUGACGUCGGCGUUGAUGGUGGGGACGAGGAAAGGGAGGUGGGAAGACAAUUGAAGACCCUGGUUUGCAGCUGGCUGUUGCCAUUGGAUUGCUGCGGUGCUGCUGUUGCUUGAUGGGCUUGUUUUCCGAUACUGUUAGCUCCAGUAUUCGACAGUGUUGUCAGAGGAAGUGAUGAUUUCAGAUACACUGCAGGAUGCGAAGCCCCAUCAAUAAGGAAAUUUUUUUUAUCGAGUUUGGCCUUCAUGUAGCUGCUAACGAUCUUUCUUUGGUCACCUACAAGCAACGAAACUCUUCUUUCUGAGAGACGAAGAAGCAACAGGGAUUCAUAUGAUGGAGAAAGAAGUUGCAGAGAUGGCCUCUUCCGAUGGAGAUAUGGUGGGCUACAGCUACUCAGCUAAACUUAAAAAAAUGCUUCGAACAAACAUAGUAGCGUUAUCAAAUCUCUUGUAAGGGUUCCUUUACAUGCUAUUGAUUAGCUAACGAAGUGUGGGAGAAUUAGAAAUGCAUAUGCAUCACUCAUGAUCUAUAUUUAAUUUGGACGGCAACAAGUUGAAGGUUUGCUGCAAUAGAUAAGAUUCUCGGACGCUGGAUCAUGUCAUCAUCUUAUUCCAGAACAUACAUUUCUAGUCCUAUCCUAAAUAUUUCGUCGACGUUCGUCAGCAUCACUUGCGAUGGGUAUCUAUAAACUUUCUACUCCAAAUGCUAUAAACACGAUCAGACGGGUGUCUUGAUACUCCUUUGUCAGGCUGCUUGCCUGGUCAAGUUGACCUUUAGAUCAAGCGACGAAGCAUGUAUGCUUCAUGUGCAUUCAUUCAUAAAUGAACCAAUGAUCUGAUUGUUGAUUCUCUAGUGAUAGCAACAUUUUUAAUGUUUCGAGGAGAAAUUGUUGGACUUUGACUUCGUCUUAAUCCAUUGUAUUCUUUGGUGAUUGUGGUUGGAAAUGGUCCAAAAUUGGAGUUGACGACGACUGUCACAGCACAAGGAAAGGUACACCCGCUCGUCUCCCACCAGCUUCGAGAUUCGUGCGUAAAAUGAUCGUGCACGAAUCUUGACGCAUAUCGAAGCUGAUGUGAUGUGAUAUUUGCUUAUUGAUACGUUCAUGUAGAAAUUAAUCUGAUGAAAAGUGUUAUUGUGACAUU